GUCGCGGAUGAUGGAGAAUUAAGUGAAGUUGGGUUACUUUAGAUAGCAAUAUUAGAGAUCAGUAAGUAAAAAAUGUUAUUUAGUCAUUUUUUACAUUUAAAAAAAAAACUAAUAUAUAAUUGACACAUGUAAAUGCUGUCUCUCAAAAUAGAGUUUCCCACUAGAUAAUUUCUAAACUUUUUUUCGGUUUUUCAUUAUUUUAUUCAAUUUAAAAGGUGAGGAAUUCUUGAGAAAUUUUCUAGGACCCUUUAAAGUUUUUUUAAUCACAAAUAUAACUUCCAAUGGUCAAAAUGAAUAUAAUGUUUCAUUAAAAGGUAAAUAGACAUUUAUAUUCCUAGUAUUAUCUAAACUAGAAUUAUGGUUUAGAUUUGAGAGAUAAAAUAUAUGAUUUUUUUUUUAAAAAUACUUAAAUUAGUUUCGAAACAAAUUUUUG
rnacentral:lncRNA from 1 species